rnacentral:lncRNA from 1 species
UUGUGAAGUUGGUACUUCCCAGCGUUGGGCUGUGACCCGCCCUGUGGUCCCGGGUUAGGAAAACCACCGAACGGGACCUGGCGUGACCCGGAUGCGCCGGGUUGUUCCUGUCGCUGGCCCUGUUCACCACCUUGACCUCUUUUGAGAGCCUCGGCCCGGAAUUCCUGCAUUACGUAUCAAUCCUCCCAAGAGUGAGUCACUGUUCCCUCCGCCAUGGCAUGCUAUGGACAAGGGCCUUUGAGCAUCUCGUGAUAAUUGC